rnacentral:lncRNA from 1 species
AUAACCGUUCAUUACGGUUAUGGUAUGUUGAGCAGAUUAGCCGAUCAUAUAUCGGUAGAACCGAUCAUAUGUCGGUAGAAUACAUAAGCGACCGUCGAUUUGUAGUUCUGUUAUACCGAUGGUCUAAGUCAUUUGCUGUCGAUCGGUAGUAGUCGAAUUAUUAGUCGGUCAGUCGGUAAUAGGUCAGUGUGGUUCGCUCAGUUGGUCGAUGAAGAGUCAGAAUCACAUAUUCAGUCGAUGUAGAGUCAGAGUUGUAUGUCCGAUCGAUCGGCUGUUGUUGAGUCAAAGUCGAUAGUCAAUUGACUUGAAUCGGGGGUUGAUUGACUUAUCCUUAUCCUAACAGUUGCCCCCCACUUUCAAGUUCAAGGUGAGUUGAUGUGUAUAUUACCACAUAGUUUGUCACGUUAGACGAAGAAAGUUAUUUUUUUGUCAUAUUGAAUCUCGAUUUUGAUACCAUUUUUUUUGAAAUACGAGUGAUCGGCUAUUUUAUCGUGUUGGCGUAUACAGUCGUCUGUCACAUUGAUCGGACGAUUCGGUAUCAGUUGUCAGUAUC